UCAUGUGUAAGAGCUGAUUCUCAUAGUGGAGAACUCAACAAUGACUUUCAUCUUCAUGUUCCUCUGGACACUUGUCCUCUGCUUUCAAAAGUCAUAUGGACAGGUCACUGUGACUCAGACUCCUGCAAUGAAAGCUGCUCAACAGGGAGGAUCCGUCACUCUGAACUGUAAAACCAGCAGUAAUGUGUUUGAUGCAGGGGGAUCAAGCACUCGAUUAGCCUGGUACCAACAGAAACCUGGAGCAGCUCCUAAACUCCUGAUCUAUUAUGC